rnacentral:rRNA from 1 species
GAUGAACGCUGGCGGCGUGCCUAAUACAUGCAAGUCGAGCGAACAGACGAGGAGCUUGCUCCUCUGACGUUAGCGGCGGACGGGUGAGUAACACGUGGAUAACCUACCUAUAAGACUGGGAUAACUUCGGGAAACCGGAGCUAAUACCGGAUAAUAUAUUGAACCGCAUGGUUCAAUAGUGAAAGACGGUUUUGCUGUCACUUAUAGAUGGAUCCGCGCCGCAUUAGCUAGUUGGUAAGGUAACGGCUUACCAAGGCGACGAUGCGUAGCCGACCUGAGAGGGUGAUCGGCCACACUGGAACUGAGACACAGUCCAGACUCCUACGGGAGGCAGCAGUAGGGAAUCUUCCGCAAUGGGCGAAAGCCUGACGGAGCAACGCCGCGUGAGUGAUGAAGGUCUUCGGAUCGUAAAACUCUGUUAUUAGGGAAGAACAAAUGUGUAAGUAACUAUGCACGUCUUGACGGUACCUAAUCAGAAAGCCACGGCUAACUACGUG